AUUGAACGCUGGCGGCAUGCUUUACACAUGCAAGUCGAGCGGGGGAAGGUAGCUUGCUACCGGACCUAGCGGCGGACGGGUGAGUAAUGCUUAGGAAUCUGCCUAUUAGUGGGGGACAACAUCUCGAAAGGGAUGCUAAUACCGCAUACGUCCUACGGGAGAAAGCAGGGGAUCUUCGGACCUUGCGCUAAUAGAUGAGCCUAAGCCGGAUUAGCGAGUUGGUGGGGUAAAGGCCUACCAAGGCGGCGAUCUGUAGCGGGUCUGAGAGGAUGACCCGGCACAACGGGAGUGAGACACGGGUCAGACGUCGACGGGAGGGCGGAGUGGGGAAUAUUGGACAAUGGGGGGAACCCUGAUCCAGCCAAGCCGCGUGUGUGAAGAAGGCCUUAUGGUUGUAAAGCACUUUAAGCGAGGAGGAGGCUACUGAGACUAAUACGCUUGGAUAGUGGACGUUACUCGCAGAAUAAGCACCGGCUAACUCUGUGCCAGCCGCCGCCGUAA
rnacentral:rRNA from 1 species